rnacentral:rRNA from 1 species
GGCUCAGGAUGAACGCUAGCUACAGGCUUAACACAUGCAAGUCGAGGGGAAACGAUAUUGGAAGCUUGCUUCCGAUAGGCGUCGACCGGCGCACGGGUGAGUAACGCGUAUCCAACCUGCCCAUCACUUGGGAAUAACCUUGCGAAAGUAAGACUAAUGCCCAAUGACAUUUAUAGAAGGCAUCUGAAAUGAAUUAAAGAUUUAUCGGUGAUGGAUGGGGAUGCGUCUGAUUAGCUUGUUGGCGGGGUAACGGCCCACCAAGGCGACGAUCAGUAGGGGGUUCUGAGAGGAAGGUCCCCCACAUUGGAACUGAGACACGGUCCAAACUCCUACGGGAGGCAGCAGUGAGGAAUAUUGGUCAAUGGGCGAGAGCCUGAACCAGCCAAGUAGCGUGCAGGACGACGGCCCUAUGGGUUGUAAACUGCUUUUAUAAGGGAAUAAAGUGAGUCUCGUGAGACUUUUUGCAUGUACCUUAUGAAUAAGGACCGGCUAAUUCCGUG